rnacentral:lncRNA from 1 species
AUCGGUAGAUAAGUUUACAAUUACUGUAUAGCAAAAUACACGUAGCUAUAUAUGACGUGAUGAUGGUGACAAAUAUGCUGUGCAGUAAAAAUGACGAUGAAGAUGAUGACUUUUAUUGCGCAGCCGAUGACUGUAUUUUAUGUCUCUUCAGACGGCAGUGCCAUUUCCUGGGGCACCUCUUCCACAGUUUCCAAAGGUAUAUCCAUAGUAGUAGUAGGAACUGGCUCUUUUUUGCGAGGCUACAAAAACAUUGUGAUCGGCAGUUGCUGCCGCUGCUUCUUUUUCCGGUCGAAGAGCAGCUUGCUACUCUUCAACUGGAAAAAGUACUACUACUAUAUUGUAUUUAAAAACCCGCGAAGUAGUGAAUCCGCAAAAAGUGAACUGCGAAGUAGCGAGGGAUUACUGUA